CAUGUAGGCGGUAUUGCAAGCCUGGUGUGAAAGGCGGGGGCUCAACCCCUGGACUGCGCUGGGAACUGCAUUACUAGAGUCGCUGAGGGGCAAUCAGAAUUCCAGGUGUAGGGGUGAAAUCUGUAGAUAUCUGGAAGAAUACCAAUGGCGAAGGCAGGUUGCCAGCAGAUGACUGACGCUGAGGUGCGAAGGUGCGGGGAGCAAACA
rnacentral:rRNA from 1 species